rnacentral:rRNA from 1 species
AAGUAUAUGCAUAUUUUAUAUGUAGAAACUGCGAACGGCUCAUUAAAACAGUUAUAAUCUACUUGACAUUUUCUAUAUAAGGAUAACUACGGAAAAGCUGUAGCUAAUACUUGCUUUAGCACUCUUGACCCCCGCGUCUUGAGUGUGUACUUGUUAAGCCUUAUAAGAAAAAAGUUAUUAACUUAAGGAAUUAUAACAAAGAAGUAACACGUAAUGGAUUCAUCCAUUUUUAGUGUGUAUCAAUCGAGUUUCUGACCUAUCAGCUUUUGAUGUUAGGGUAUUGGCCUAACAUGGCUAUGACGGGUAACGGGGAAUUAGAGUUCGAUUCCGGAGAGGGAGCCUGAGAAAUAGCUACCACAUCUAAGGAAGGCAGCAGGCGCGUAAAUUACCCAAUUCUAAAGAAGAGAGGUAGUGACAAGAAAUAACAAUACAAGGCCAAUCUGGCUUUGUAAUUGGAAUGAUGGGAAUUUAAAACCUUCCCAAAAUACAAUUGGAGGGCAAGUCUGGUGCCAGCAGCCGCGGUAAUUCCAGCUCCAAUAGCGUAUAUUAAAAUUGUUGCAGUUAAAACGCUCGUAGUUGAAUUUCAAAGGAUCGAUAUUUUAAGUAACGCUUUUAGCUUAAAUCCACAUAACAGACACUUCGUGUCGACUUUGUGCGCAUUUUCGCUAUUAUGUGUUCUUUUAAUUAAAAUGAUUCUUUUUAAAUCUCUAAUAUUUGCUUCGGCAUUUUUGGAGAUUUGUUACUUUGAGUAAAUUAGAGUGUUCAAAGCAAACAGAUAUAGCAUUUGUGCGUUUGAAUACUACAGCAUGGAAUAACAAAAUUGAACAAGUCAAAAUUUUUUGUUCUUUUUUCUUAUUUUGGCUUAGUUACGAUUAAUAGGAGUAGCUUGGGGGCAUUUGUAUUCAGAUGUCAGAGGUGAAAUUCUUAGAUUUUCUGGAGACAAACAACUGCGAAAGCAUUUGCCUAAAAUACUUCCAUUAAUCAAGAACGAAAGUUAAGGGAGUGAAGACGAUCAGAUACCGUCGUAAUCUUAACCAUAAACUAUGCCGACUAGGCUUUGGAUGAAAGAUUUUAAAAUAAGGGUUUUCCUUUCCCUUCGGGGUUAGGACUCUUAGAUUGCUUCCUUCAGUGCCUUAUGAGAAAUCAAAGUCUUUGGGUUCUGGGGCGAGUAUUCGCGCAAGCGAGAAAGUUAAAAGAAUUGACGGAAGGGCACCACCAGGCGUGGAGCUUGCGGCUUAAUUUGACUCAACACGGGAAAACUCACUAGUUUAAGACAAGAGUAGGAUUGACAGAUUAAUAGCUCUUUCUUGAUUUCUUGGAUGGUGAUGCAUGGCCGUUUUUAGUUCGUGAAUAUGAUUUGUCUGGUUAAUUCCGAUAACGAACGAGAUCUUAACCUGCUAAUUAGCGGCAAAUACGAUAUAUUCUUCUGUGGAACUGAAUAUAGUGGAUUUGUUAAAUUUUGAAGAAAAUAUUGGAAUUACUAAUCGUUUUUCCUUUCCCUUUUCUACUUAAUUUACUUAUCCUACUAUUUCUUUUUCGCAUUUGAAUGUAUUUGCUUGAUUGUAAAGCUUCUUAGAGGAACGAUGUGUGUCUAACACAAG